AGCCGCCGGCCACCAGGAUUAGGUACGUGAGCAGCUGCAUUCAUCCAUCUUGCGAGUUAAUUAGCAUAAAUAAAUGCCCAACUGAUUCCGUUACUUUGCAGAUUCUGUAGUGCAGCCUUAUGUGUGAAGCAAGAAAGUUAUGAUCUGGUGACAGAAGUCCUUUGAACGUGGACAAAUCAGUACCAAAACUGAUUUGGUUCUUCCAAUCUGUGUGUACAGUGUUUUUUUCUGAGGAGCAAGUAGGUGGAGCACAUGAGUGACGUGAUACCCCAAACUCUCACUAACUCUUAGCAUCUCAUAAUGUGAUGUCUAUAGGAGAUGGAGCAGCGCCUCGUUGAUGCAUGAGCCGAUGCGGUCUGAAUCAAGCCUGUGCGCAUCUUGGUGAGAAUCGUUGGUCUGGUUUGACCAUAUUUUUGGACUGCAUUUUGUGGUUGUGUGGGAAAUUGUGUGCGGUGUAGGAUAUGUACUGUACAUGGAUUGCAAUUGCAGGACUGAUGGUAAGGUUUGAUCAAUGAACAUCGACAUAAUUUAU
rnacentral:lncRNA from 1 species